GCAGCAGUGGGGAAUUUUGGACAAUGGGGGCAACCCUGAUCCAGCAAUGCCGCGUGAGUGAAGAAGGCCUUCGGGUUGUAAAGCUCUUUUGUCAGGGAAGAAACAGCAGCUCUAACACAGUUUGCGAAUGACGGUACCUGAAGAAUAAGCACCGGCUAACUACGUGCCAGCAGCCGCGGUAAUACGUAGGGUGCAAGCGUUAAUCGGAAUUACUGGGCGUAAAGCGUGCGCAGGCGGUUAUGUAAGACAGGCGUGAAAUCCCCGGGCUUAACCUGGGAAUUGCGCUUGUGACUGCAUAGCUAGAGUAUGUCAGAGGGGGGUAGAAUUCCACGUGUAGCAGUGAAAUGCGUAGAGAUGUGGAGGAAUACCAAUGGCGAAGGCAGCCCCCUGGGAUAAUACUGACGCUCAUGCACGAAAGCGUGGGGAGCAAACAGGAUUAGAUACCCUGGUAGUCCACGCCCUAAACGAUGCUGACUAGUUGUUCGGGAAUUUAUUCCUGAGUAACGUAG
rnacentral:rRNA from 1 species